GGGGCAGCUGAAAACUUUCCACAGGCUGCCUGCUCGCCUGGAUUUUUUAAGUUUGAGGCAUCUGAGAGCCCCUGCUUGGAGUGCCCUGAGCACACGCUGCCAUCCCCUGAGGGUGCCACCUCCUGCGAGUGUGAGGAAGGCUUCUUCCGGGCACCUCAGGACCCAGCGUCGAUGCCUUGCACACGACCCCCCUCCGCCCCACACUACCUCACGGCCGUGGGCAUGGGUGCCAAGGUGGAGCUGCGCUGGACGCCCCCUCAGGACAGCGGGGGCCGCGAGGACAUUGUCUACAGCGUCACCUGCGAACAGUGCUGGCCCGAGUCUGGGGAAUGCGGGCCGUGUGAGGCCAGUGUGCGCUACUCGGAGCCUCCUCACAGACUGACCCGCACCAGUGUGACAGUCAGCGACCUGGAGCCCCACAUGAACUACACCUUCACCGUGGAGGCCCGCAAUGGCGUCUCAGGCCUGGUAACCAGCCGCAGCUUCCGUACUGCCAGUGUCAGCAUCAACCAGACAGAGCCCCCCAAGGUGAGGCUGGAGGGCCGCAGCACCACCUCGCUUAGCGUCUCCUGGAGCAUCCCCCCGCCGCAGCAGAGCCGCGUGUGGAAGUACGAGGUCACCUACCGCAAGAAGGGAGACUCCAACAGCUACAAUGUGCGCCGCACCGAGGGUUUCUCCGUGACCCUGGACGACCUGGCCCCAGACACCACCUACCUGGUCCAGGUGCAGGCACUGACGCAGGAGGGCCAGGGGGCCGGCAGCAAGGUGCACGAAUUCCAGACGCUGUCCCCGGAG
rnacentral:sRNA from 1 species